rnacentral:rRNA from 1 species
GACGAACGCUAGCGGCGUGCUUAACACAUGCAAGUCGAACGGAAAGGCCUCUUUCGGGGGGUACUCGAGUGGCGAACGGGUGAGUAACACGUGAGUAACCUGCCCUUGACUUUGGGAUAACUUCAGGAAACUGGGGCUAAUACCGGAUAGGAGCUCCUGCUGCAUGGUGGGGGUUGGAAAGUUUCGGCGGUUGGGGAUGGACUCGCGGCUUAUCAGCUUGUUGGUGGGGUAGUGGCUUACCAAGGCUUUGACGGGUAGCCGGCCUGAGAGGGUGACCGGCCACAUUGGGACUGAGAUACGGCCCAGACUCCUACGGGAGGCAGCAGUGGGGAAUAUUGCACAAUGGGUGGAAGCCGGAUGCAGCAACGCCGUGUGCGGGAUGACGGCCUUCGGGUUGUAAACCGCUUUCGCUCAUGACGAAGCUUUGUGUGACGGUAGUGGGUAAAGAAGCACCGGCUAACUACGUG